CGUCCAGUGGGCGGGGUCGUCGCCGUCGGCCUGGAGACGGUCGGUGACCUGGAGGAGGGCACCGCCGUCGAUCGCCUUGACCUCGACGG
rnacentral:tRNA from 1 species